UUGCUUGGGCAGCAUAGAUUCUAAAACUGGAAUGAUAAAGAGAAGAUUAGCAGGGCCCCUUGCACAUGGAUGAUAUGCAAAUUUGUGAAGCAUUCCAUGUUAAA